rnacentral:tRNA from 1 species
GCGCGGGUGGCGAAAUUGGUAGACGCACUACCUUGAGGUGGUAGCGCCCGCAAGGGCUUGCAGGUUCAAAUCCUGUCCCGCGCA